AUGAAGCAUCAAAUUCUCUUGUUUUUCUUUGUUCUCGUUGUUUCUUCUUUCUUUGCUUCUGCUCGUCUACUUGUACCACCAAAUGGUUCAAAACAUGGUGAAAAGGAAUUGAAGGCCAUUGGUAUAUCAUCAAGCGAAAUGAAAGAUGAUAUGGAACAAUUGAUGGGAUCAGAGGAGUGUUCUGAAAAGGAUGAAGAAUGCUCUAGCAGAAGGAUGAUUGCAGAGGCUCAUUUGGAUUAUAUCUACACCCAACACCACAAGCCUUGA